rnacentral:rRNA from 1 species
GUCAUAUGCUUGUCUCAAAGAUUAAGCCAUGCAUGUCUCAGUACAAGCCACAUUAAGGUGAAACCGCGAAAGGCUCAUUAAAUCAGUUAUGGUUCCUUAGAUCGUACCCACAAUUACUUGGAUAACUGUGGUAAUUCUAGAGCUAAUACAUGCAAACAGAGCUCCGACCGGAGACGGAAGGAGUGCUUUUAUUAGAUCAAAACCAAUCGGUGGCGGGUUCGCGCUCGUCAUCGUACAACUUGGUGACUCUGAAUAACUUUACGCUGAUCGCACGGUCAUAGCACCGGCGACGCAUCUUUCAAAUGUCUGCCUUAUCAACUGUCGAUGGUAGGUUCUGCGCCUACCAUGGUUGUAACGGGUAACGGGGAAUCAGGGUUCGAUUCCGGAGAGGGAGCCUGAGAAACGGCUACCACAUCCAAGGAAGGCAGCAGGCGCGCAAAUUACCCACUCCCGGCACGGGGAGGUAGUGACGAAAAAUAACGAUACGGGACUCAUCCGAGGCCCCGUAAUCGGAAUGAGUACACUCUAAACCCUUUAACGAGGAUCAAUUGGAGGGCAAGUCUGGUGCCAGCAGCCGC